AGUGGAUACGUGGAACUUGGGACCUCAAUUAUUUUUGAAGCAGGGUCAAAUUUCACUUGACUUUUGGUCAUUGAACAUGUACAUGAAAGUGAGUAGCUCCAACAUUUUCUGCUUCUCUGCAGCCAUCAG